rnacentral:rRNA from 1 species
AGCGCGCUACAUACGGAGCGGCAGACGGUGAGAGUAACACGUGAGGAACGUGCCCUUCAGUCCUGGAACAACCCAGGGAAACUUGGGCUAAUACCGGAUACGUCCGUAAGGAGAAAGAUUUAUCGCUGAAGGAUCGGCCCGCGUCUGAUUAGCUUGUUGGUGAGGUAACGGCUCACCAAGGCGACGAUCAGUAGCUGGUCUGAGAGGAUGAUCAGCCUCACUGGGACUGAGACACGGCCCAGACUCCUACGGGAGGCAGCAGUGGGGAAUAUUGGACAAUGGGCGCAAGCCUGAUCCAGCCAUGCCGCGUGGAUGAUGAAGGCCCUAGGGUUGUAAAGUCCUUUCGGCGGGGAAGAUAAUGACGGUACCCGCAGAAGAAGCCCCGGCUAACUUCGUGCCAGCAGCCGCGGUAAU